CCUACGGGGGGCAGCAGUGAGGAAUAUUGGUCAAUGGGCGGGAGCCUGAACCAGCCAAGUCGCGUGAGGGAAGACGGUCCUAUGGAUUGUAAACCUCUUUAGGCGGGGAGCAAUGCCGGGCACGCGUGCCCGGAGGGAGAGUACCCGCAGAAUAAGCAUCGGCUAACUCCGUGCCAGCAGCCGCGGUAAUACGGAGGAUGCGAGCGUUAUCCGGAUUUAUUGGGUUUAAAGGGUGCGUAGGCGGGCCUUCAGGCCGGCGGUAAAAUUGCGGGGCUCAACCCCGCCGAGCCGUCGGAACCGGGGGCCUUGAGUACCGGAGAAGUACGCGGAAUGCGUGGUGUAGCGGUGAAAUGCAUAGAUAUCACGCAGAACCCCGAUUGCGAAGGCAGCGUACCGGCCGGUCACUGACGCUGAGGCACGAAAGCGCGGGUAUCGAACAGGAUUAGAUACCCGUGUAGUC
rnacentral:rRNA from 1 species